UACGUAGGGGGCAAGCGUUGUCCGGAAUCAUUGGGCGUAAAGCGCGCGUAGGCGGCCCGGUAAGUCCGCUGUGAAAGUCGGGGGCUCAACCCUCGAAUGCCGGUGGAUACUGUCGGGCUAGAGUGCGGAAGAGGCGAGUGGAAUUCCUGGUGUAGCGGUGAAAUGCGCAGAUAUCAGGAGGAACACCAAUUGCGAAGGCAGCUCGCUGGGACGUUACUGACGCUGAGACGCGAAAGCGUGGGGAGCAAACAGG
rnacentral:rRNA from 1 species